GCAGUCGAACGAGUUCUGAUUAUUGAAAGGUGCUUGCAUCUUGAUUUAAUUUUGAACGAGUGGCGGACGGGUGAGUAACACGUGGGUAACCUGCCCUUAAGUGGGGGAUAACAUUUGGAAACAGAUGCUAAUACCGCAUAAAUCCAAGAACCGCAUGGUUCUUGGCUGAAAGAUGGCGUAAGCUAUCGCUUUUGGAUGGACCCGCGGCGUAUUAGCUAGUUGGUGAGGUAACGGCUCACCAAGGCAAUGAUACGUAGCCGAACUGAGAGGUUGAUCGGCCACAUUGGGACUGAGACACGGCCCAAACUCCUACGGGAGGCAGCAGUAGGGAAUCUUCCACAAUGGACGCAAGUCUGAUGGAGCAACGCCGCGUGAGUGAAGAAGGCUUUCGGGUCGUAAAACUCUGUUGUUGGAGAAGAAUGGUCGGCAGAGUAACUGUUGUCGGCGUGACGGUAUCCAACCAGAAAGCCACGGCUAACUACGUGCCAGCAGCCGCGGUAAUACGUAGGUGGCAAGCGUUAUCCGGAUUUAUUGGGCGUAAAGCGAGCGCAGGCGGUUUUUUAAGUCUGAUGUGAAAGCCCUCGGCUUAACCGAGGAAGUGCAUCGGAAACUGGGAAACUUGAGUGCAGAAGAGGACAGUGGAACUCCAUGUGU
rnacentral:rRNA from 2 species